GACGAACCGUGCGAACGUUAUUCGGAAUCACUGGGCUUAAAGCGCGUGUAGGCGGGCCGCCGCGUCGGCUGCUGAAAUCCCCCGGCUCAACCGGGGAACGGGCACCGAGUACGGGCGGCCGUCGAGGGGGGUAGGGGGACUGGAACUUCCGGUGGAGCGGUGAAAUGCGUUGAGAUCGGAAGGAACGCCCGUGGCGAAAGCGAGUCCCUGGACCCUUUCUGACGCUGAGACGCGAAAGCCAGGGGAGCGAACGGG
rnacentral:rRNA from 1 species